rnacentral:rRNA from 1 species
GACGAACGCUGGCGGCGUGCUUAACACAUGCAAGUCGAACGCUGAAGCUCAGCUUUUGUUGGGUGGAUGAGUGGCGAACGGGUGAGUAACACGUGAGUAACCUGCCCCCUUCUUUGGGAUAACGCCCGGAAACGGGUGCUAAUACUGGAUAUUCACUGGUCUUCGCAUGGGGGUUGGUGGAAAGGGUUUUUCUGGUGGGGGAUGGGCUCGCGGCCUAUCAGCUUGUUGGUGGGGUGAUGGCCUACCAAGGCUUUGACGGGUAGCCGGCCUGAGAGGGUGACCGGUCACAUUGGGACUGAGAUACGGCCCAGACUCCUACGGGAGGCAGCAGUGGGGAAUAUUGCACAAUGGGCGCAAGCCUGGUGCAGCGACGCCGCGUGAGGGAUGGAGGCCUUCGGGUUGUGAACCUCUUUCGCUCAUGGUCAAGCCGCAACAAUGGUUGUGGUGAGGGUAGUGGGUAAAGAAGCGCCGGCUAACUACGUG